rnacentral:lncRNA from 1 species
UGGCGUGCUCCAUGUCGCCGUCACGACAUCAAUGGUGGGUGGCGUCGUGGCGUACUCCAUGUCAUCGUCUUCCGCGGCUCCGACUUGACGACAUUGACGGUGGGCGGAGUCGUGGCGUGCUCCAUGUCGGCGUCUUCCGCAGCUCCGGCUUGACGAAGUAGACGCAGAGUGGUGAUGAUGACCUCCGCUCCACUAUCCUUCAUGGCGCCGGCUCGACCAGGAAGGCGAUGGGCGUUGUACCGGCAAGCUCCGCGGCACCGUAUUGACGAAGUGGACAUCAGCGGCGUCCCUCGAGCUCCCCCGCGCCACCAUCGAGAUGUGCAUGCAUGCAAUAUAAAGUCCAUGCGAGAUAUUAGAUCAUGAUUUUACCGUUCAGGAACAUCAGCUUGCUGUUCAUGUCGCUGGUGCCGCCGAAGUUUCCCGCGUGAGGAUGGAUGGACGCCAGCCUCCUACUCUCUGUGUACGCCGGCGUAGAUACAGGCGUCCCUCGUCCGACCGGCGAUCCGGUGCGUGAGAGGGUUCGCCGGAGAUCUUCUGGCGUCUCACCGGCUCUUCGGGUACUUAUCUCCUCCGCCGGCCUUCACGUAUAUCUUGCCGCGUGAUGGAUGAAUGGGGUGCACAGAUGUGUGUUGCGUUGGCGAAUGUAUCGAUCUUGUGCUCUGUGUGGUUGAUGGAUCUCUGGGGUAGAUGGACGUAUGCUACCUGAUGGAUGGAUGUAUGGCUAUGUGCGUGGAUGGUUGAAUGGAUUUCUAGAGUAGAUGGAUGUAUACAACGUGAUGGAUGGAUGUGCUGUGUGCGUGGAUGGUUGAUGGUUCCCU